UUUUGUUUAUUUUCUACGUUUUGAAUAGAGUCAGCUAUUACUCAAAUUUAAAAAAAUUAAAGUUGAAAGUGAUAUUUCACAAAAUAAAUUUGAAAUCCACAUUUUUACAUCUAUAAAGUUUUUAUUUUUCCCUCUUGAAUCAUUAGAUUCUUUUUUUAAAUAAUAAAAACACCUUCAGCAUUUUUGCCUCAAUCUUGCUCACACGGUGAAUGUUGAAUAAUUAAUUUCUUUGCACAUUUUGGUUAGUGUUGACGGCUUGAGUUACUUGGUGACGAACUGCUCUUUCAUUCCUUGUUUUAGCCCCUUUAACACAGAUGACAGGAGUGUGUUUGUAACUGCAGAGACCGUCAGACCGUGCACAUGGAUAGAGAUUCAGAAGAAUCAGAAGAGGAUGUUCAAGAAGAGGGCAAAGCCUCUGUUUUAUGGGAGAGAUGUUUUGAGCAGAGCAUCUUUGUAGACCUCAGUGAGGAUGAAAGCAUCCACCUCAGUGAUCUGGACAAUUCUUUGGCUUUGCAUGUGUCUCGAGCAGAGUCUGCACCCUCUGAAAACAGCAUCCAUCUCAGUGGAAGUGCAGAGUUGUCAGCGUUGGAUGACUCCCCAUCGGAGAGCAGUCGAUCUAACAGUAACUGUGAGAAUGUGACUGAGGGUAAAACAGGGAGCAGUAAGUUGCCAAUGUCUCCUCAGAGACCAAACACCUUACAGAAUGAGUUUCCCCAAAAGCCUGGGUGUGGGGAAUCAGGAGGAAAUACCAGUGAUGAGGAUCAGGAGGACUUACCGUAUGAUGGUGACGUUGGAAGCCCGUACUUCAACCAGACAACUAGCUCAGAAGAAAAUUCGGACGGAGGGAACACCGUUCAUGGAAGUCCUGAUCCUCCGGCUCCACUGGAAUCGUUCCACAAAGACGCCAACACAGAUGAAGAAAAACCCUCUGCAGCUUCUGAGGCAACUGGGUUGGCUAAUCCUUGUUCAGAUCUGACAAACAUCAACCAUUUGCUGCUCCAGCAUUUUUCCCAGGAAGAGUUAUUGGGAUCCGGAAGGCUGAUUGAAGCAGAAACGCUGCCAGAAGUGUCCCUACUGGAGAGCGUGGACGACACUGUUGUCAGCUUCUCAGCCUACAACCAUGCAGAAAACUUAAGGAAGCAAACAGAAAGCUUUGAGGAAAGAAGUGAUUCCAAAUCAAACAAUGAAAGCUCAGAGGUAAAGACAGAAAAGGAAAUUGAUCAUCCAACAUCUAAUGCUUCUGCAAGUUCAAACCAGAGCAUUCAGAACACGAAUGCAGAUCUGUUGGAGCUUGAUGAUAAGAAAGAGGAUGUGCGAAUUCAAACAGUUCCUCUUUUGCGGACCAGAUCUCUUGGCGAGAUUAAAUAUGGUCAAGGCAAGGUUCAUUAUCGUCUUCCUGAUUUUUCCAAAGUGCCUUCUAAAGUAAAAAUCCCCAAAGCUCCAAGUGGUCCAGUGAAGCCUGUCCCUCCCCACUCUGACAGUGUACCCAGAGCCCAGUCUUCUCCUGACAUCUUAGAUGUGAUCAGCAGAGUCCUGGAGGACUUUGUCCAUCCUUCAGAGAAGCCCUACGUCUUCAACGCCAACGACAGACAGACUCCGUCAGUACCGCUGCAUCAUCUGCAGGAUCACUAUGACAAAUUACUAACCGACUAUACAACAGGAGAGAAUCAGAAAGACACAAUCAGGCACGGAACCAAAGUAAGUAAUAAAAACUAAGUUAUUAUGAGCCAUUAAAUGCAUAAUUCUAAAUAUGGGAUAAGGACAGAUUAAUCUUUUUUCACAGACCCAGAUGUUGUUGUCGGACCAUGAGCGAAACAGACUUUAUGAUAAAGACAAAAAGGAGGAGGUUGAGUGUGUUGAAAAUGGUCUUUUGCAGAGCUCGACUCCUCAUCUUCCAACAACAGGUAUACAAAUAUAAUUUUCUGGCACCUAGUUUUGUAGCCACUUUCUUUCAUUUGAUUCUUUUUAUGUGGUACGGUCCAAAUCUGACCUUUUUUUUGUUAAGAUCACUUAACUCACAUUUGCAGCUUUUUUAUUGAGAUUUAAAAGAUUUAAAAUGACCAUUGAUGAGUAAAGAAAGCCCAAUGACAGCAGAAACUUAAAAAAAGUUUUUUUCCCCUUGUCAGCAGUAGAUUUAAAGUGAAUUUAACACAAUAUUUUAAGUUUAGGUGUCUGAAAACAAGAAAAGUAAUUAAAAAGACAUUGCUUUGAUACACACAUUCAUUAUGCAAAAGUGCAAACUGACUUAUUUGUUGUGUAUCUGCUGUAUAAAGAUAAACAAAAGUUUCCAUAAAUUCAUCAUUUUAGAAAUAUUAUUAUUUCAAAAGAGAUUCAGCUAAAAUGGGUUUAAAAGUUUGCUGCAAAAUUCAACUUUUAGGUUUCCUGUUAAUAAUGGAUGAUGCAGGGGUAGAAUUGUUAACCUCUGAUCAGAAGAUCUCAGGUUCAGUUCCCACCUUACCUGCCCAUGAGUCAAAGUGUCCUUGGGCAAAAAGCUGAACCCUACAUUGAUCCUGGUGGUCAUAGGUUGGACUUUUGUAAGGCCCUGUGUGGGAACGUGUGUGUGUGCAUACAUGGGUAAAUGGGACUGUGACCGUAAAGCUCUUUGGACCUUCAAGGAAGGUAGAAAAGCACUAAUUAAAUAAACGCCAUAUACCAUAUGUUGAGGAUUUUUAAAAUAAAACAAAAUAUUUGUAGAUUUUUUGUCCAAUUCUGUCUUGGGACAAGAAAGCAAUCUAAAUAAAGAUAAAAACAUUUCCAUAAGAAAAUGAUAAAACAAGAACAGAGAUCUUAAACACAUCCUUUUUUACAGAAAUAUAGACAGGAUGCUGCUGUUAAUGGCUUAUUUCAUUUCCUUUUUUCAGUACCAACAUUUACAGUAAAGGAGAUGUUACAAUUUAGCAUUUUCUUGUUAUAGAAAACCUCUGUGAACAAACAGGAGAAAAAACUGAAAACAUCAAGGAGGGGGACUCGCUUUUGUCAAAGCAGCAUGAAGAUGUUCAGAGUGACGGCGAGAGAAUGACUGCUGAGCUGAGAGACAUCAUCAGCCAGUUCAUGCAUAAGGUGUUGGCCCUUUUACCACUCUCCUUGUAAACCAUUCACUCUUUUUUAUCUAAAGAAUAAAUAAAUACCAUAAUUCAUUGUAAUUUUUUUUCAGACGGACGAGUUCAAAUUUAGCGUUACCAACAUGACUGUGAGCACAGAUGAACAGCAAAUGGUAUACACCUUUCACUCUUCAAAACAAAAAAGACAUUUUUCCAGACCCUCUGCAUACGCGUUUACCGGUAUGUUAAACCUGUCUUUUGUAAGAUUUUGAGGAGCAUGAUGGAGGCUCAGGACCAUCUGGAGCGCAAAUACAUGAGUAAGAAAGAAGAGCAUAGAGCUCUGGAGAUGCAGAACUACAUGGGUCUGUCCAGGAACACGGGCACCUUUGACCCAAACAGGUAUGAAGAGCGUCACUCCAAUGAUAGCCCCCCCUGCAAUGUGUUUGAACAUCUAUCCAUGCGUGUGCAGGCAGCUGGAGGGAGACAUAUUCAGGAUCGGGAUGCACCUCGAGGACAUCAAGGAAAUGAUUGACAAGAAUGUGUACGAGCAGAUUUCUCUACCCCACUCAUCCUCCACCUCCACCCCCAUAACAGCCCAAAUGAAGACUGUUCCAUUUUGCACACCAUCAUCCCCUCCACACCCGCAUCAGGUAACACACUUACUGACAUACAGCUGCUGCUUUGUAGCAACACAAAGGCUUGUCAAAGUGUUUGACAUCAAAUUUUGACACAACUGACACCAACUUGUCAAAAAUAUGACAGUAUAAACACAAUUUCCUAAAAACACC
ensembl:lncRNA